rnacentral:rRNA from 1 species
GAUGAACGCUAGCUACAGGCUUAACACAUGCAAGUCGAGGGACCGGCGCACGGGUGAGUGACGCGUAUCCAACCUGCCCACCACUUGGGGAUAACCUUGCGAAAGUAAGACUAAUACCCAAUGGUGAUGGAUGGGGAUGCGUCUGAUUAGCUUGUUGGCGGGGUAACGGCCCACCAAGGCGACGAUUAGUAGGGGUUCUGAGAGGAAGGUCCCCCACAUUGGAACUGAGACACGGUCCAAACUCCUACGGGAGGCAGCAGUGAGGAAUAUUGGUCAAUGGACGAGAGUCUGAACCAGCCAAGUAGCGUGCAGGAUGACGGCCUAUGGGUUGUAAACUGCUUUUAUAAGGGAAUAUGUACCUUAUGAAUAAGGACCGGCUAAUUCCGUGCCAGCAGCCGCGGUAAUACGGAAGGUCCGGGCGUUAUCCGGAUUUAUUGGGUUUAAAGGGAGCGUAGGCCGGAGAUUAAGCGUGUUGUGAAAUGU